ACUCUCCUGCCAUAUCCUCCACUUGCUUCCUUUGUACAAGAUGCUCUGUUUUGUAAAUAUCAUCAAAUAGAGCAUACUUGUGCAAAGGAAGUUAUUGGAGGUACAACUCUACCUUGAA
rnacentral:precursor_RNA from 15 species